rnacentral:rRNA from 1 species
AGAACGAACGCUGGCGGCAGGCCUAACACAUGCAAGUCGAGCGCCCAGCAAUGGGAGCGGCGGACGGGUGAGUAACACGUGGGAAUAUGCCUUUCGGUUCGGCACAACUCAGGGAAACUUGAGCUAAUUCCGGAUACGCCCUUACGGGGAAAGAUUUAUCGCCGAAAGAUUAGCCCGCGUUGGAUUAGCUAGUUGGUGAGGUAACGGCCCACCAAGGCGACGAUCCAUAGCUGGUUUGAGAGAACGACCAGCCACACUGGGACUGAGACACGGCCCAGACUCCUACGGGAGGCAGCAGUGGGGAAUCUUGGACAAUGGGGGAAACCCUGAUCCAGCCAUGCCGCGUGAGUGAUGAAGGCCUUCGGGUUGUAAAACUCUUUUGGCGGGGACGAUAAUGACGGUACCCGCAGAAUAAGCUCCGGCUAACUUCGUGCCAGCAGCCGC